rnacentral:lncRNA from 1 species
UUCGGCAUCCAUUCCCUCAUGAACUCUUGUCUCUGCUAAAGCUCAUACACUUGUCCUCUGAAUGGACAUGUGGAGGGGGGUUUGCCGGUCAUAAAGCAUGGCAAAGGGAGGUGUAAUUAUGACAGAGUUGAAUUGGGUGGACCGUUCUUUACCUGAGUCCCUCGCCACCGUCCGCUCUCUUCUUCCUCCAUGUGCCAUUGGAAGCCAGGGACCAGAAGAGAGGGGAUGACACAGCAGUAAGAAUCAACUACAAAAUUCUCUGCAAGCCCAAGCAAUCCAACACAGCAACAAGAUUUAGCAACAGGCAAAAGCAU